rnacentral:rRNA from 1 species
AUUGAACGCUGGCGGCAGGCCUAACACAUGCAAGUCGAGCGGCUGAAGGGAGCUUGCUCCUGGAUUCAGCGGCGGACGGGUGAGUAAUGCCUAGGAAUCUGCCUGGUUGUGGGGGAUAACGUCCGGAAACGGGCGCUAAUACCGCAUUCGUCCUGAGGGCGAACGUGGGGGAUCUUCGGACCUCACGCUAUCAGAUGAGCCUAUGUCGGAUUAGCUAGUUGGUGGGGUAAAGGCCUACCAAGGCGACGAUCCGUAACUGGUCUGAGAGGAUGAUCAGUCACACUGGAACUGAGACACGGUCCAGACUCCUACGGGAGGCAGCAGUGGGGAAUAUUGGACAAUGGGCGAAAGCCUGAUCCAGCCAUGCCGCGUGUGUGAAGAAGGUCUUCGGAUUGUAAAGCACUUUUAGUUGGGAGGAAGGGCAGUAAGUUAAUACCUUGCUGUUUUGACGUUACCAACAGAAUAAGCACCGGCUAACUUCGUG